rnacentral:rRNA from 1 species
GACAGAGGGGGCAAGCGUUGCUCGGAAUCACUGGGCGUAAAGGGCGCGUAGGCGGGAGGGCAAGUCAGUCGUGAAAUCCUUCGGCUCAACCGAAGAACGUCGGCUGAUACUGCCUUUCUUGAGGGAUGCAGAGGAGACUGGAAUUCCCGGUGUAGCGGUGAAAUGCGUAGAUAUCUGGAGGAACACCGGUGGCGAAGGCGGCAUCCUGGACCGGUAUUGACGCUGAGGCGCGAAAGCUAGGGGAGCAAACGGG